GUGGAGAAGGUGGCGGUGGUAGUAAUGGUGAGGUUGGCGGUGGUAGUAAUGGAGAAGUUGGCGGUGGUAGUAAUGGAGAAGUUGGCGGUGGUAGUAAUGGAGAAGUUGGCGGUGGUAGUAAUGGAGAAGUUGGCGGUGGCGGCAGUGGAGAAGGUGGCGGUGGUAGUAAUGGUGAAGUUGGCGGUGGUAGUAAUGGAGAAGUUGGCGGUGGUAGUAAUGGAGAAGUUGGCGGUGGUGGCAGUGGAGAAGGUGGCGGUGGUAGUAAUGGUGAAGUUGGCGGUGGUAGUAAUGGAGAAGUUGGCGGUGGUGGCAGUGGAGAAGGUGGCGUGGUAGUAAUGGAGAAGUUGGCGGUGGUGGCAGUGAUGGAGAAGUUGGCGGUGGCGGCAGUGGAGAAUGUGGUGGUGGUAGUAAUGGUGAGGUUGGCGGUGGUAGUAAUGGAGAAGUUGGCGGUGUGGUAGUUAUGGAGAAGGUGGCGGUGGUAGUUAUGGAGAAGGUGGCGGUGGUAGUAAUGGAGAAGUUGGCGGUGGUAGUAAUGGAGAAGUUGGCAGUGGCGGCAGUGGAGAAGGUGGCGGUGGUAGUAAUGGUGAGGUUGGCGGUGGUAGUAAUGGAGAAGUUGGCGGUGGCGGCAGUGGAGAAGGUGGCGUAGUAGUAAUGGUGAAGUUGGCGGUGGUGGCAGUGGAGAAGGUGGCGUAGUAGUAAUGGAGAAGUUGGCGGUGGUAGUAAUGGAGAAGGUGGCGGUGGUAGUAAUGGAGAAGUUGGCGGUGGUAGUAAUGGAGAAGUUGGCAGUGGCGGCAGUGGAGAAGGUAGCGGUGGUAGUAAUGGAGAAGUUGGCGGUGGUAGUAAUGGAGAAGGUGGCGGUGUGGUGGCAAUGGAUAAGAUGGCGGUGGUAGUUAUGGAGAAGAUGGUGAUGAUGGCAGUGGAGAAGGUGGUGGUGGUAGUAAUGGUGUAGUUGGCGGUGGUGGCAGUAGAGAAGGUGGUGAUGGUAGUAAUGGUAAAGUUGGCGGUGGUGGCAGUGGAGAAGGUGGCGGUGGUAGUAAUGGUGUAGUUGGCGGUGGAAAAGGUGGCGGUGGUAGUUAUGGAGAAGGUGGCGGCGGUGGUGGUGGUAGUAAUGGUGUAGUUGGUGGUGGAGAAGUUG